GUCGCACUCGGGCUGCGGGGCUGCCGCGGGGCCGCCGCUGCGGCACUGCACCGAGCGGCGCUGCACGCCCCGGCCGCAGGACACGGAGCACUGCGGGAACGGACACAAGGGGACUUUCAAAGAGAAUAAAGGCACAAACUUGGAGAAACAUACACAGCCUACCAUGCUCUAAGAUAUCUUUUGAGUUGGAUUUAUCACCAAUAUAAAAAGCCCAGACUGAAACCAGGACAUGUUCAUCCUUAAGAUUUAUGCAUUUUGAAAACAACUCAGAAGGUGGCAAGAAGGCAGAGCCUGGAGAAUCAAAGCAAAAAGCAAACCAGCAGGUAAUGAAAGUCAGCAGUAAGACAGAAAUGUCACAUCCUGCAAAUGGAUUCAUAUUUUAAUCCAUUAAAUGUCUUUGGACUAAACACCAACACUGAUGCUUAAACAAAAAUUCAAGUGCUCCUUGGUAAACAGUCUUCAUGCAGGUUAUGCCACUUUACUGUGACAGCCAAAGUUAAAGAGUAAAUUUAGAGCAUUGAUCAGGACUCUCUCAUGUCCUACAUCCUGAGCUGGUACAGCCCAGAGCAUCCUUAAUUUAAAAAAUACAUGGGAUCAGACUGCUUAUCCUAAAGGAAGACUCACCACACUGUGCAACAAUGCAAGCACCUUUCUGGGGACCUGAGGCUGGUUGAGAAAAACUUGAUCUCACAACAAUUUGGUACUAGUUAUUUCCAAAAUUAUUACUCCCUUUCUACAAGAUGCUUAACUUUGGCAUGGAGCCUGAUUCUGACAUUUAUCUCGUGAUCCCAUGAUCAAACAAGUCUGCGUGCAAACCUUGGUGCACUCAGAGGUUGAGGCAUAAUUUGCUUAAUUUUGUUAAUACUUAAAUGUAAUUCCCAAGAUGCUGGAAUUAAUCAUUUCUAUGUCUGCCUUUAAUAUAAAUCAAAUCUAGGCAGCUGUGCAUUUUCAGAUCUAAACCACCCGUUUGCUUUCAUGCACAUUUGAGUUAUGAUCUCAUUUGCACUGACAGAAAAGAAAGGUUGAAUAAUCUAAUUUAACCAAGUAUCAGAGACUGAAAAUUCCUUUGCAAAGAGUCUACUUAAUAACUGCCAUCUAAUCCAUCUCAGGUAUUCAACUUUUAUCUGGCACAUAGAUUUUAGGCAUAUGUGAGCCACAUGCAAAGCAUAAUUUAAUAGGCUGCAUCUCAACACCAUGUGAGUCAGGGAAGUGCUACAUCCAACUACCACCAUCAGCCUCAUCAUUUAUUUUGGACCCUGGAGAAACUUUGCAUUUCAUUAACAGGAUUCUUCAUGGCUGCAAAUGCUGCCUGCCUAUAGUACCUACCAAUAACAGCAAUACAACGAGGUAAGCUUUGACCCUGCCUUCCUCAAAACAUUUGGCAAAAUCACUGUCUUUACAUUCCUCUUUUUCUUGACUUCUUUCCCACAACCCCCAUAGAAAAUGCUUCCAAGUACUGGGGGCAGACUGGGUUUCUGGAAUAACAGCCUCACCUUAUCCAAGGCUCCCUGAGUCACCAGAAAAGCCUCUACCGGUUUUAAGCACCUCUGAGACAGCCCUGAAGGUGUAGCCAGGUACUGUAUGGAAGUUUUUCACUAACCAGCUUCCUAGAGCCAAGGAUCACAUGCACCUGAGCAUGCCUGUGGUCAACUUGCCUCUGCCUCCACUUAAGUGUGGGAACACGUUGCUCUGAAAGGCUGUUUACAGCCUGUGAUUGAGGCACAACAGCAAAUACCACCCCUGGAUGAACCUGGGAGGACAGUCAGGCACGGAGGAAGCUGUGAAAAGAACAAAUUGUGAUGUUUCUGUAAAAAAAACCACCAAAAAGUUUGUGGCAUAUAAAAUAAUGGAGAAACAGCAUUUCAAAAAAUCAGCUAUAGCCAUCACUCUAAAACUUUAGCAAACCUUCCCCUUGUUAUUAUCUCCUAACCCACCACAGUUGCACCUGGCACUUUACAUGGAGAACAAAAACUAGAGGACUUUCCUAAGAGCAUUAGGAUCAAAGCACUUAGCACAAAUUUAAGGGUUUUAUGUUUAUUGCAUGAUUAGUGUUGUUAAUAUGCCAAGAAUUGGAGAUUGACAUGCUGCUGAUACUUUCAAAUAAAUAUACUACCUAGUUUAAAUAAAUGCAAGGAAAAAAGUUUAAAUAAAUAUGGCAGAAAUAUUUCCAUAUCAACUGUUUCCAUAAAGAUGCUAAAUACGAGGUUAAACAUCUCCUGCAAUGCCUUGCUCUGCUCUGCUUGUGUUUUUGUUUCCACAAAAAAUUUGUUUUCUGUUUCAGAGUUUAGGAGAUAAUCAUUCUGCUUUACCAAGUGUGUGCAAAUUGCUUUAAAAUAACCCUUUCUGCAUUUCCUGAUCUGAUCGUUUGGAAGAUGAGAGUACAUCUUGAUCAUUAGGAUCUCCUUAAAACAGAAAGGCUGCUACUUGAUGCACAGGGCUGGCAGCAGGGAAAACAAAAACCCCACAGAAUAUGUUCAAAAUAUCUUAAAAAUUUGUAGAAAAUUUCUGGUGAAUUUCUGGGAGCAGGGUCAGUCCAGCACCAAGAGGACUCAAGAGCCCUGGGCACAAAUGAACAAAUCUCAGCAAGAAGAAAAAGGCACCACAGAGCAGUCAAGAAGAAAUGGAAUGACUGCUCCUUGAGAACUUUGUGCAUUGAACGGGCAGUUCCACAAAGGGCAGAAGGGCAUAUCCCAGGCAAGAACCUGGGAACACUCUCCCCCAAAGUGAAAAGUUGCAGAAAAUGCUGUCAGACCACUUUUCAGACCCACCAUGCAUCAGCCAUCAGCCGACGAUUUGGGAGGUAUUUAAGACAAUGAAUGCAAGCUGUGGUGAUCACCAAAUGAAUUCCCUAAGAUAGCUAUGCUCUGAUAGCUCAGCAAGGGCAGGGCUGGGAAGGAUUAGACUAAAAAUGCCUUUAUCAGAUUCUGCCAGGAGCAACUUUUUUGAGGAAAUUAAAAUCAAUCCUUGCAGAUUUAGACUUCCCCACAUUAAGGAUUUUAUGGAAAGCCAGCAGCUGUAAGUAAGCCCUGGUUCAUCCCUUCCAACAAUCUGAGACAAAAUGUGUUGGAUGAAAUAAAGCAGGAAAGCAACAGAGCCCUCCAAUGCUUUACACCCAUUUUCCAAGAGGGUUGUGUUCCUGGAUUCCAGCAAACUUCUCCAACUACAAGCAAACCCAACAAUGUACCUUCAUAGAUACCUUUUAGCCUAUUAGUCUGCAUCACCUUUUAAUACCACUAACACUGCUGCUGUCAGACACUGAAACCAUAUCCUGGUGACUUCUGUACCUCUGAAGUCUCUUGAGCAUAAAAUACCUCAACAGACACAUCACCAAGGAAAGCCUGGAUCCUUCCUCACCACCUGAACCUUUACCAGGAGCCUUAAAAUGCUGGAACCUUUGUGUGCUGUCCAGCAACAGGGGCUCUGUGUCAUCCAAACCAAAUUAGCUUCACAACAGCAAGGUAUUUCAGCAGGUAAUUCCCUUGGCUUCAGUGAGACAGGCUGAAAGCAAGGAUGCAGUGCUUCAGGAGAUAUUUAGGAAAUAUUUAUUGCUGCUCUGAAGCCCUGUUUCUCCCACCAACGUGUUUUAGCAUGGUCUUGUGCCAUCUGCAUUGGCACAUUGAGAAAUCCAUAAAAUUGGGUGGGGACACAUGCAAGGCAAGAGUCACCCAGCUUGGCUUUCCUGUCCUGACAAACUAGGGAGCUAUGACUUAAGGCACAUGGGUACUGAGUGUGUAUGGUCAUGGUGAUUUUAGCUGGUGAAUGGCCAGAAAAUACACGUGAUUCUUAUACAUUUAAAAGGGAUGAGGGGUUUCUACUUUCAAGGGAGAGCAAAUGGACCAGAGACCUGAACAAAACACACCAAAGCACCACACUGCAGUUUUGAAAGAGGCUUUAGAAAUGUUUAAUCCAAACUGACUCCUCAGAGAAAUGGAGUGAUUGAAUAAAAAAGGCAGGAGCAUUAGGGAUUUUGGAAUGUAUAGUCUGAAUGCAUUUGUGAGCACUGUCCAGAGCCCCUGUGCAAGUGGGUUCUGAGGAGCUCUCUCAGAGCUGGAGGACAGCCCACAGUCUGAACAAGAGCAGGCUUUGCCCCAGUAUUCCCACAGAGCCCUCACUGCCCUGGGCAUGGGAACUUCCAUGCUGGCCUGCCCUGUCUCUGCAGUGCCCUCUUGACUUGGAGCAGAGGCACAGAGCUCCCCAAAUCAUUGCUGCAAAAGGGAGAAAUGAAACAACCCACUAAAUCUUCACCUUCCCACCACCAAACUCAGCUGCAGGGACUGGUGAGUGGCCUCAGAUGAUGUCUUAAAACACAUUUGGAAAAAAAAAAAAGAAAAAAAAGAAAAAAAAAAAAAAACAACAAAAAAAGAGAAAAAGGUCCAAUUUGAUGUGUUGCUGCAGUGGAAGAAAGAGCUGGUGUGUCUGGAGCCCAUUGCUCCAGCAUAAAUUGCCCAGAGGAAAGGAUGCUCUUGGGUUCUUUAACUCCUGCAAGGAUUAAGGCCCUGAAUGCCAAAGUCAAUACAAUAAUUUCCCCAAGCUGGGAAACCUCACAAGAUAUAUGGGAAGAAAGAGGUAACUGCAGCAGGAGAAGCCAUGCAUCUCUUCUGCCACAUUCCCAGUAAGCAGCACCUUCUCCUCCUCUUUUCCCUGCCCUGGAAAGACUUCACCACAAAUGACUUCACCAGGAACAGAAAUUUAACAGGGCAGUGAGCACACAAAGUUCUCCUAAAAGCUGUGUCCCUGCCCUGCUCCACACUAUUAACCUUGAACAACAAACAAACAAAAGCCCCACAGAGCCCCUUAGACUCUCCAGGGAGGGAGGCACUGGAUGGCAUUUCCCCAAAUUAGAUGUGUGAGCUACCAAAGGAUGCCAAUACAGUGUGAUGUGGAAAGUACUGAUGAAGCCAAUUUUACAUGCUGUGGCACUUUUAGGAGAGUACCAAUUGAAGCAGCAAGGUGCUUCAGCUAACUGACACUUCUCAUUUUUAGUGAACAGUGGUACUACAAUGCCAUUUCGAUAUUCUGUUCCAGAAUAGGAUUUCUCUGUGUUGGAUGGAAUAAAACACAAAGUAAAGAGCUCUCCAAGAAAUGUCAGCCCUGUUUCACAGGUGUGUAUCACACUGGGGGGUUGUAGGAGCACUGGGCUGCUGCUUCCUCCCCCAUUUUAUAAAGAACAAUCUUGGCUUAAUGCACUAGGGAUAAAUUCUGUCAACCUGCAUACAGUCUUGGGCAUCAGACAGAUUUUCAUCCAUGCUGCUGGCUCAUUCACCUCCCCUGUGAGCUAGUAAAAUUAAAAUAUGAAUAGAGCUUUAAAUGCCCUUGGAACAGGACUGACUACACCGUUUUUCCUUAAUAACUGCACAAAUCAGUCACUGGGAAAGUUAGAAGCACAGAAAAUUUCUGUGUGCUUAGUGUCCCUCAUUGUUACACAUCCUUGUUUCUAAAUCCCUAGGAUCUGAGCAACAGUAAUGAUUGCAGUGUGGAGUAUACAGUGUGACUCUGGAAACUGGGCAAAACCACAGGCAGACCUCCCAAAACCCAGCUCAGGGAUCUGCCUGAAGAUGCUGCAUUUCACAUCUCAUCCCUGAAGUGUGCUAGUGCUUCAAUGCAUCCCUUGAAGUCUCAAGCAUUCCUGUACUCAGAGCCAGUGCUUUGGGAGACAAAUAUUCCUAGCAUUGCCCUUUUAUUUAUUGCUUUAUUUCUCCUGUGUGGCAUGUGCAGAUGUGCAGGAGAUCUGCAGCCAGGGAUGGGCCACCUGUAACACAAGGACUGAGGCCAGUCAUUGCUGAACAGGAGCCUCACCGCUUGUUGUUUGAGUUUAGGCCUGGAAAAUUACUAUAUCAUUGAGAAAACAUGUAAGAGAGGAGGUGUAAAAAGGCAACCACAGAGGCAUGCCAAAUGCAGCCAAACAGCCACUGCACUAUGGGUGGAAAGACUUCUCUAAGUGGGAAAGUGCACUGAGGAAUCUGGGAGAAAAUCCACUAUCUGGGAGCAAAGGGAUGAGAAGAUUUUAAAGAUACCUGAAAAUAACCUUUGUGAAUCUAACCCCUGGUCCAGUUCCUGCCUGUCCUGACAGUGGA